UAGACCAGCGGCGUGCGUUGCGCGUCCACAGACAUUCGGGGGAAACCCCGUGAACAUUGCACUUCGCAUGAGCUGUCUGAUAAAAAGCCGAGUGCCUUGAAGCCCAGGAUAUCAUUGCUGGCCCCAGCCUACUGUCCGCAACAGUGCGUGUACGUCCUUGCAGGCAGCAGCAGUGGGCGAGGCGUCAACCCUGACUUCGUUGAUUGAUCAAUACAGACGCAAGGCUGAAGCACCUGCGUGGUCUUGACCGGGAGUAGCCCCGUUUACCACCCAGUGAGACCCGCACGUAGACCAGGACGCAUAAAAGCGAACGCAGCCACCGCGACCCACAACAACACUAGCAGGGAUCGAGCAAGAAGAUCUAUACCAUCUCGCUUAGACUCAAAGAUGACGAAAACAUUUAUUGUUCUGGCCACCCUUCUGGGUAUGGCGUCGUGUUUCAACUACUUCACGCCCGUUCAGAUCUGCUCUAGCCAAGAUCUGUACGAAUUCGUCGAGAAACUGUGCAAGACUCCUCUCAUGGCGCACCCGCAGAAACGGGGAGUUCAAUUCGGUACAAUAAGCGCUGAACAAUUCGCAACGAUGUGCUGCAGAAACCACUGCUACCCGUUACAAUUUAUCGACCUGUGCUAACCAAAGGAACAAAGUAACGUGAGUGACACGAGAGACCAAAGCGCACAUGCACCUACUCGAAGUGCACGUCAGUACUACGCCACUAAUUUAAAGUAACAUGUAAAUACUAUGUCUACGGUUGUACCUGGGGAUUUUGGGGACGCGGUUUACUCACUGUGAAUACUUAACUUAUUAUGCUGUCAUUUGUAAUAAACUGAGUCCUGUUUUGCA